rnacentral:rRNA from 1 species
CCAGUAGCGUAUAUUAAAGUUGUUGCAGUUAAAAAGCUCGUAGUUGAAUUUCGGGAUCAAUAUAUUGGUCAUGCUUAGGUAUGUACUGGUAUUAUUGAUUUCUCCCUUCUGAAGAACCAUAAUGUCAUUAAUUUGAUGUCAUGGGGAAUCAGGACUGUUACUUUGAAAAAAUUAGAGUGUUUAAAGCAGGCUUUCGCUUGAAUACAUUAGCAUGGAAUAAUGAAAUAGGACGUUUGAUUCUAUUUUGUUGGUUUCUAGGAUCGACGUAAUGAUUAAUAGGGAUAGUUGGGGGCAUUAGUAUUCAAUUGUCAGAGGUGAAAUUCUUGGAUUUAUUGAAGACUAACUACUGCGAAAGCAUUUGCCAAGGAUGUUUUCAUUAAUCAAGAACGAAAGUUAGGGGAUCGAAGACGAUCAGAUACCGUCGUAGUCUUAACCAUAAACUAUGCCGACUAGGGAUCGGAUGAUGUUAAUUUUUUAAUGACUCAUUCGGCGCCUUACG